GUCCAUUACUGGCUUUCAAAGAAUGUCAGGGAAGCUUUAGACACUCACUUCUUUGCUCCAAAACCAAACCCAGUUCCCUAAGAAAUGACUUCUUUACAUCAAUUGCUCUCUGACGAAGGUUUUCAGCGGACAAGUUUCUCGAAAACUAGGAAACAAGCACUCAAGCAUAGAGAAGAAUCUGUAAAAUUGCCUAAAUAUUUUUGCCAUGAUCAGAAAAGCCUUGAUUCUUUCAAGAACAAGACUAAGCAGGCAUCUACUCGAAAAGGGUCUUCAAUAUUUUCGUCGAAAAGAAUGAGUUCAGAUUCGGAGAUGAACAAGUUCAAGCCAUUGUUUAAGGGAGAUGAACCUGCAAUGGAUGAAGCAACUGUUAGAGCUGUAAUAUCUAUGCUUGGUGGCUAUAUAGGCAGGUAUGAAAAAGAUUUGAGUUUCAGGAAGAUGAUUAGAGACAAGUGCAACUCUUGCUUGGUGAGAAGAAGAAAGGAUUCAGAUGAUGGGAUUUUUGCAAAUAUGGAGCUGGGAAUUGAGAGCAUUGAGAAGUUGGUUGAAGAUCAAGUGACAAGGAAGGAAUUAAGAAUGAAGUCAUUGAGAAAUUCAAUUCAGCUAUUGAGUACUGUUGCUUCAGUGAACUCUAAAAAAUCAGGAAAUGGUUCAACCUGUGGUAUUCCCAAUUCCCAUAUCUCAGCUUGUGCUCAGUUGUAUCUAUCUAUAGUCUACAAGCUUGAGAAGAAUGAUAGGAUAUCAGCAAGGCAUCUACUUCAGGUGUUCAGCGAUUCACCUUUUUUAGCAAGGACACACUUGCUUCCUGAUCUUUGGGAGCAUUUCUUUCUUCCUCAUCUUCUCCAUAUUAAGAUUUGGUAUCAUAAGGAACUAGAGAAGCUCUCAGACUCUUCAAAUGUUGAUAAGGAAAAGAGAAUCAAAGUGUUGAGCAAGGCUUAUAAUGACCAGAUUGAUGUGGGAACAUUUCAAUUUGCUCUGUACUAUAGAGAGUGGCUCAAAGUUGGGGGCAAAGCUCCUUCAAUCCCUGCUGUGCCUUUGCCAUCUAGGCCUAGUCAUGCACCAUCAAGAAGGAAAUCAUCAGAUUCUUAUAGUUCACGUUCCUCCAGCAGCAGAAAUUUGUAAGCUAUUGAUCUCCAUAUUCUAACCUUUAUUUUUUCUGGACUUUAGAAAUCACAAAAUAAAAGUAAAUUUGCACACUAGUCUUGUCUGUUAUUUGUGAUUGUUGCUUCCUUCCCAGUAGAUACCAAGCCGUAUUUGGUCCCACAAGUGAGCACCGAUCUGUGGAGCUCCCUUGUCAGGAUAGAGAUUCAAUGGAUGCUUGGGAUCCAAAGGAAGAAAAAAUGUGCAUAGAUGGUGGGUAUAACAGUUGCAAUUAUGCUACUAAUAAGACGACGACUCAUCGGAGGUCAUCGGGCCUAAACUAUAUAAUUUCGAGAAAUGAAUUGCGGGCUGAGACACAGAAAUCAGACUACUUCAGUUUCUUUUCUUGCCAGAGUAUAGUAUCAGAAUGCUUGGUGAAUAGCAAUCAUAUAGUGAGGAGUAACUCAAUCAAGAACCAUGAGAAUACCCAUCUUCCAUUAAGUGAUCUAAGUAGAGCUAUUUCUACCAUUUGCUCCUCAGGCAGUCUAAAUGACUGUGAAAUUGCUAUCAGAGUUAUUACCAAAGCUUGGCUAGACUCACAUGAUAAUCCCGUUAUCGAAAAUGUUUUAUCAAGAGAACCUGUGAUCGAGGGAAUACUUGAGGUCUUGUUCGCUUCUGAUGACGAUGAAAUUCUUGAAUUAGCUAUAUCAAUUCUAGCUGAGUUCAUUUCCAGAAAUGAGACGAACAGACUAAUAGUACUCAACUCUGAUCCACAGCUUGAAAUCUUCAUGAGACUUCUUAAAAGUAGCAGUUUGUUUCUUAAGGCUGCUGUUCUGCUUUAUCAGUUGAAGCCAAAGGCUAAACAAAUGAUAUCUGUUGAGUGGGUGACACUAAUACUUCGAGUUUUAGAGUUUGGCGACCAAUUGCAGACCUUAUUUACUGUAAGAUGUAUUCCUCAAAAGGCAGCAAUGUACUUCCUGGAAGAACUUUUAAUGGGUUUCAGUGAAGAUAGGAACUUAGAGAAUGCAAGUCACCUUGUGUCCCUAGGUGGAUUGAGCUUGCUGGUAAGGACAUUUGAGAAAGGAGACAUUGAUGAGAAGAAUAAUGCAGCUAUGCUUAUGAACUGCUGCAUUCAAGCAGAUGGUAGUUGUAGGAAUUACUUGGUUGACACUUUAAACAAGUCUGCUCUCCUUGAGCUCAUUGCCCAUGGAAUCCAGAAGAAAGCUACGGGAUUUGCUCUUGCUUUACUAACUGAGUUACUAUGCCUUAGUAGAAGGACACAGAUCAUAAAAUUAUUAACUGAGCUUAAUAAUGGAUGGAGUGGCUUGAACACCAUGCAUAUAUUCCUAGUCUAUCUUGAGAGGGCUUCACCAGAAGAACAACCUUUAGUCGCAGGAAUUCUCUUACAGCUUGAUCUUCUGGGAGAUCCUCUAAAGUCCAGCCUAUAUAGGGAAGAUGCAGUUGAGGCAAUUAUAAGAGCUUUGGAUUGCCAAAAUUGUAACUCAAAAGUUCAAGAACAAUCUACAAGAGCUCUCUUGAUGUUGGGAGGCUAUUUUUCACACAUAAGAGAGGCAAAAGCAGAAGAAUGGCUUUUAGAACAAGCAGGUUUCCAUGAGAGAUCAGUGGAUUCAUUUUUCUGCAAGGAAGUAAUUGAUGGGAACUUGCAAGAAGAUGAAAAGGAAAUGGAAGAUUGGCAAAGAAAAGUAGCAAUUGUCUUGCUCAACACUGGUGGCAAGAGAUUCUUGGAAGCACUUUCCAAUUGCAUAGCCAAUGCCACCCCAAAUUUAGCACAAUCAAGCCUCUUUACUGUUGCAUGGAUGAACAGAGUUUUGCAUUCUGUAGGAGAUGCAACAUUUGUUGCAGAACUACCAGAAUCCUCAAAUUUUGACAGAGCUCUUCAUGGAAGGAUAGAUACUUCUGUUUUAUUGAAGCAUCAUGUAAAGAGUUCAGAAUGCAUUUCUAUGCUUUCAUCAUUGGAUAAAGAGUUGAUAGACCCCAUUCGAAAUUCUUCAUGAAGAAUUGGAGAAAUCAAAUACUAGAGGCUAGAAAAUUUUACUUGUUGAGCAAAUCAUCAAUGCUCAUCAGUGAGUGGAAGGAUUAGAGUACUCAUCCAGAGGUGUGUGAUAUAUCUGUUGUUCUUUUCUCUUCCUUUUUACUCUUUUAAUUUAUGUUACAAUCUUUGUGUAUGAUAAUGAACGUAUGCAUACUGCAAAAUUCUAGUUUGAGGUCCUCUUCUUUCCUAGUAGAAUUUGUAAAGAGAAGCAUAUCUCAAUGAAAUAGAUGAUAUUCUUU
rnacentral:misc_RNA from 1 species